AUGAGCAGCAGACACGAGGGCGGCGGCCAUGGCGCCGCCGCGGCGGCGGCGGGAGCUGGCGUGGGUAGUAUCAAGGAGGGCGGCGGCCGGGACGCGCACGAGGACGACCUGGUGAUGCCCGGGUUCCGGUUCCACCCGACGGAGGAGGAGCUGAUCGAGUUCUACCUCCGCCGCAAGGUGGAGGGCAAGCGCUUCAAUGUCGAGCUCAUCACCUUCCUCGACCUCUACCGCUACGACCCCUGGGAGCUCCCAGCGCUGGCGGCGAUUGGGGAGAAGGAGUGGUUCUUCUACGUGCCGAGGGACCGCAAGUACCGGAACGGGGACAGGCCCAACCGGGUGACGGCGUCGGGGUACUGGAAGGCGACGGGGGCGGACAGGAUGAUCCGGGCGGAGAACAACCGCUCCAUCGGGCUCAAGAAGACGCUCGUCUUCUACUCCGGCAAGGCGCCCAAGGGCGUCCGCAGCAGCUGGAUCAUGAACGAGUACCGCCUCCCCACCGCCGACACCGACCGAUACCACAAGACAGAAAUCUCUCUCUGCCGUGUCUACAAGCGCACCGGCAUCGACGACGGCCGUGGCCACCCCUCCUCGGCGCGGUCGACGAUGCCCUCCCGCCGCGGCGCUGAGGCACGGCAGGACAACAGACAAGGGUCAUCGUCGACGUCCACGCCCACGCCACCGCCGACUCCAUCCAAGCUCCAACUUCUACAAGCAGGCGAGUGCACGUCGCCGCCGGCGCCCAUGACCGAUCACGCCCAAACGCACAGGCCGGCGGCUCCAAGGCAGCACCUAGCAGCCACCUUAAAGCCCUCGGGUGGCUCAUUAGGAUACCUACAGUCAACCGCAGCGACCGGCGAUCAUCAGCAGGAGGCAGCCGCGGCGUUGCUGUACCAGCAGUACUCCAAGAGCACAAACACCUUCGCGUCCACGUACUCGCUGCUCAACCUGGUGAACGCGGCGUCCAUGGGCGUCGCCUCCGCCGCGGCCAUCGACGAGCUGAGCACGCUGGUGGGCCACGGCGCCGCCCAGCUGCCGUCCUACCACAGCCCCGCGUCGUCCGGCGGCCACCACGACCACUUCGUCGUUCCACUGCCGACGCCGCCGACGCAGCCAAUUACGCCGCUGGGGACGCUGCCGAUGUCGCUGGCCGCCAUCUCCGACAAGAUCUGGGACUGGAACCCGAUCCCCGACGCGGCGGCGGGCAGAGAUUACGGUGGCGCCGGCUUCAAGUGA
rnacentral:rRNA from 1 species